GGAUCUUUUUGUUACCAUAAACAGUCUUUGAAGGGAAGAUGUGGGAUUUUAAUGGCUUUUUGAAUUCACGUGGGUGUCAUUUGCUUUGACGUACACCAAAUACAGAACAAGAGUAUGGCUGGAGGAAACAAUCAAUGAGUUUUAAGGCUGUUUAGGAGCCUUGCUUGUGGCCUGGCACUUAUCUGUGUAUGCUACAAAACCAGAACGAAGACAGUUCCCAACACAAAGUUCACCCAAAACUGAGACACGAGCAGCCAGUUUCAGGCACAGUCCCAUGGCCUCUGUGGCAGUGCUUUUCAUUGCUGAGGACAGACAUCAAGCUCCCCUUGGGAUCUGUGAAGGAGCAUAAUUUGAUACAGGUGCCCAAGUGAGCGGCAGCAGCAUGCUUGGCUGAAAGCUAUCCACGUUACAGCCAGCGGCAGGCAUCUGGAAUCGGCGGGCAAAUGAUUUCACCUUGUGUGGACAUUUCAUUUUGCAUCAGCCACGGUGCUCUGUUUUUCCAUAAUGAAAACUAAUUUGCUCAAA